UGGGGAAUAUUGCACAAUGGGCGCAAGCCUGAUGCAGCCAUGCCGCGUGUGUGAAGAAGGCCUUCGGGUUGUAAAGCACUUUCAGCGAGGAGGAAGGUGGUGAACUUAAUACGUUCAUCAAUUGACGUUACUCGCAGAAGAAGCACCGGCUAACUCCGUGCCAGCAGCCGCGGUAAUACGGAGGGUGCAAGCGUUAAUCGGAAUUACUGGGCGUAAAGCGCACGCAGGCGGUUUGUUAAGUCAGAUGUGAAAUCCCCGGGCUCAACCUGGGAACUGCAUUUGAAACUGGCAAGCUAGAGUCUCGUAGAGGGGGGUAGAAUUCCAGGUGUAGCGGUGAAAUGCGUAGAGAUCUGGAGGAAUACCGGUGGCGAAGGCGGCCCCCUGGACGAAGACUGACGCUCAGGUGCGAAAGCGUGGGGAGCAAAACAGGAUUAGAUACCCCUGGUAGUCCACGCUGUAAAACGAUGUCGAUUUUGGAGGUUGUGCCCUUGAGGCGUGGCUUCCGGAGCUAACGCGUUAAAUCGACCGCCUAGGGAGUACGGCCGCAAGGUUAAAAACUUAAAAGGAAUU
rnacentral:rRNA from 1 species